GCCGUCACGUGGCACCACCACAUCCACACGAUGAGCCAUCUGGUCCGCGUGCCGGCCGGUUGCUCGUAUGAAAAAAGGGGAGCUGAGACAGAGAGAGUCAGGGGGAGGGGAAGCUCGCUCGAGAGAAGACAUGGCGGGCGAGCUUGUCGUCUGGGUCGCGCUCCUGCUCGCUCACGAGCUCCUGCCGUGCCCGGGCGCAUCGGCCGUCGGCCGCGGCCAGUUCCCUGACGACUUCCUGUUCGGGACCUCCACCUCCGCGUACCAGAUUGAAGGCGCGUAUUUAGAGGGUAACAGAGGCCUCAGCAAUUGGGAUGUAUUCGCUCAUAAGCCAGGCACAAUUGAGGAUGGAAGUAAUGGUGAUACCGCUGAUGAUCACUAUCACCGCUACAUGGAAGACAUUGAAUUGAUGCAUUCCUUGGGUGUCAACUCAUACCGAUUCUCCAUUGCAUGGACAAGGAUUCUACCAAGAGGUCGAUUUGGACAUGUUAAUCCAGAUGGUGUAGCAUUCUAUAACGAACUUAUUGAUGCACUACUGCAGAAAGGCAUACAACCAUUUGUAACAAUAUCUUAUUACGACAUCCCACAAGAACUAGAAACACGAUAUGGUGGAUGGUUGAGCCCAGAAAUUCGGAAGGACUUUGGCUACUUUGCAGAAGCAUGCUUCAUGAUGUUUGGUGACCGAGUAAAAUUCUGGAUAACAUUUAAUCAGCCAAAUUUGUUCUUGAAGUUCGCUUAUAUGGAUGGAUGGUACCCUCCUGGUCGCUGCUCUACGCCAUUUGGUAAUUGUGCCUUUGGGAAUUCUUCAAUAGAGCCAUACAUAGCAGGUCAUAAUAUGAUAUUGUCGCAUGCAAAUGCAGUCAGUGUUUACAGAAAAAAGUAUCAGGGGAAGCAAGGUGGUCAUAUUGGCAUUUCUAUGUGCUCAAGAUGGUAUGAACCGUUCCGGAAUACCACAGAAGACAUCUUAGCAGUUGAACGUGCUCUAGCUUUUAGUGGUCCAUGGUUUCUGGAUCCUAUCAUUUUUGGUGAUUAUCCUAUAGAGAUGCGUGAGAUCUUGGGUACAAAAUUACCUGAGGUCACAACAGAAGAAGAAAUUGAAGGCUACAAAAUUGGAUUUUAUUGGACUCAAUCAUUAUACAACAUUAUAUUUGAAGGACUGCAUCUCCUCUCCAUGUGAAAUAGAUCCUAUUGACGGGGAUGCUCGAGUUUUAAGUUCAGCAGUAAGAGAUGAUGGAGUACUUAUUGGUGAAGUGACAGGAUCCCCAUUCUAUUACUCUGUUCCUGAAGGGAUGGAACAAGUGGUCAUGUACUACAAAAAGCGAUACAAGAACACACCAACAUAUAUUACAGAAAAUGGUUAUGCUCAAGCAAGCAAUAGCAGCAUGACUGCCAAGGAUUUUACCAACGACACUCAAAGAAUCGAUUACAUUCAUGACUACCUGACCUUUUUAGCCUCAGCAAUAAGGAAGGGAGCUGACGUGCGUGGUUACUUCCUGUGGUCUUUACUCGAUUGCUUUGAGUGGACGUCGGGGUACACACUGAGGUUGGGGCUCUACCAUGUCGACUUGAAGACGCUGGAGAGGACCCCUAAACUGUCGGUGGAGUGGUUCAGGAAUUUCCUCAAAGGUUCGCUUGUGGUUGGGACAAGGCCCCGGAAAGGACAUUCCCAGCUGAAGCAGUACACUGCCCAAUAACUCCAUGAUCAAUUUUCUACUUGCCGAGUCAAAAAAAAAAAGUUUUCUACUUGCCGUGUGCUUGUGUGUUUUCCGGAGGAUUUUGUGUAUAUUGUAAUAAUCGUGUGUUGUAUAUGUGCUGUGCAUGAUUGCAUCUAUUGAAAGGAAAUGGGCCCCGGAAAUGCACACAAUGCUCUAGACCAUUUGCCCUUUUCUUCCCAAAGGAUCAUCUGGUCAUGUGUCUCUCAAGAAUUUCCACUAUAAAAGAAAACUGAACUGACCA